AGCGAACGCUGGCGGCAUGCUUAACACAUGCAAGUCGCACGGGCGGGGGCAACUCCGUCAGUGGCGGACGGGUGAGUAACGCGUAGGAAUCUAUCCUUGAAUGGGGGACAACCGUGGGAAACUACGGCUAAUACCGCAUGAUGACUGAGGUCUAAAGGCGCAAGUCGCCUGAGGAGGAGCCUGCGUCCGAUUAGCUAGUUGGUGGGGUAAAAGCCUACCCAAGGCUCCGAUCGGUAGCUGGUCUGAGAGGAUGAUCAGCCACACUGGGACUGAGACACGGCCCAAACUCCUACGGGAGGCAGCAGUGGGGAAUAUUGGACAAUGGGCGCAAGCCUGAUCCAGCAAUGCCGCGUGGGUGAAGAAGGUCUUCGGAUUGUAAAGCCCUUUUGGCGGGGACGAUGAUGACGGUACCCGCAGAAUAAGCUCCGGCUAACUUCGUG
rnacentral:rRNA from 1 species